rnacentral:rRNA from 1 species
UACGAAGGGGGCUAGCGUUGCUCGGAAUUACUGGGCGUAAAGCGUGCGCAGGCGGUGAUGUAAGACAGAUGUGAAAUCCCCGGGCUCAACCUGGGAACUGCAUUUGUGACUGCAUCGCUGGAGUGCGGCAGCGGGGGAUGGAAUUCCGCGUGUAGCAGUGAAAUGCGUAGAUAUGCGGAGGAACACCGAUGGCGAAGGCAAUCCCCUGGGCCUGCACUGACGCUCAUGCACGAAAGCGUGGGGAGCAAACAGG